rnacentral:rRNA from 1 species
UACAGAGGGGGCAAGCGUUGUUCGGAAUUACUGGGCGUAAAGGGCGCGUAGGCGGCCCGCUAAGUCGAACGUGAAAUCCCCGAGCUCAACUCGGGAACUGCGUCCGAUACUGGUGGGCUUGAAUCCGGGAGAGGGAUGCGGAAUUCCAGGUGUAGCGGUGAAAUGCGUAGAUAUCAGGAGGAACACCGGUGGCGAAGGCGGCCCUCUGGGCUGACACUGACGCUGAUUGUGCGAAAGCUAGGGGAGCGAACGGG